GGAUAGCUCAGUGGUAGAGCAGGUGAAUGAUAAUCAUCGUGACGCGGGUUCGAAUCCCGCUCCA
rnacentral:tRNA from 1 species